UUCAGGGGUAAACCUGAGAAACCCGAAAGGUCGAAAGGGGAGAUUCAGCGUGUCUCGAUCGUGGCGCUGGACGGUCGUGCGACGGACGGCGUACGCGUCGUUCGCGCCUUUCGUCCUCCGAACUGCGGUCGAACGCGUGCACUUCUCCCCCUGUAGGACGUCGCGAUUCGUCGGGUGUCGGCCUAAGGCUCGAGGUGGAGUUCGUCCGGACGUUUCGGCGUUCGUGACGAACCCUCGGUGUUUCCCGGUCGGCUCGCUCGACGAUAUACAGAUGGCGCGGGGCCGCUACGUUAGUUAGCGUUCGACCUUCGGCAAGCGCGCUCCUCGCGACGGUGAUCGGACCCGGWGCCGGUCCCGUCCCCGGGCGACUGUUGGCCGAGGUGUUCUCGAACAGACCUCGUUUUGAAACGCCGAUCUGCGACGCUAUAGCUUUGGGUACUUUC
rnacentral:rRNA from 1 species